CUUUUGCUAUAGCUCCCCAGUCUAGAUGUGUCCCCACAGUCUGAAUGGGGAGCCAGGGAAGAGCUAGAGACACUUGGGAUGGGGAGGUGGGUACUUAGAAAAGUCAGCUGAACUCACUCAUAUCACAGCAGGCUGAUGACUGAUUGGAUCAGGCCAGAGCCAUGGUUUUAAAAGGGUCCUGGAUCUCUGAUACCAUCCUAACAUUGGGUAGGAACAUGUUUACAUGCCACUAUGAAAGGGGACAGAGAUGCAGUGAGCAGGAAGAAGACAGACAGAAGAGGCAUUAAAAUGUACACCAUGCUUUUUGAACAACAAAAAAGGAAGUUUGCUAAGGAAUGAAUAGGGCUUUACUUCUAACUAAGCAUCUACACUAUAGUGUGUGCCUUUUAUAAAGCAAAGAGAGAGAAAAGCAAGGCAAAGAUGUGACCUUAGGAUGAGACUGGGAUAUUCCUGCUAACUGCCUGCACAGGACAUGUGAGCUGGUACUGUGGGUUAAUUAAUGGAGAUGUUCUGCAAGCCAUGUACUAGGCUGGUCUCAGAUCAGCAGUCACCUAUGUCUUAGCUGUAGGACUCCCAGAGAUGAACCUCAAGCCUGUGUACAUCACAAGCUUAAGCAUUCGGGAAUGUGCCCUGUGCUUUUCAUAUCUGUAUGGAUCCCUACCAAGUCAGUCUUGCAGCCUCAUACUCGCUCAUCUGUAAGAAACUGAACAGGCAUUGGUCCCUCUGAUUUUCCCCCAAACCCUAUCUAAUGGUUGCUAUGAGUAAGCAGUUUCCCCUGUGCCUAGGCAUCCCUUUCCCAGUGUACAAAGGCUUGGACAUGCAGAACAGGAAAGGAGUAUGGACACUAUAGAACAACAAUUCUCAAUCCCCUAGCACCUCAUCAGGGUGCUGACUGCCAGGGCUCAUCCCCGAAGGAUGGGGUGGGAAAGGGGGUGGAUGUCGGCUCAGAAACCUCCUGUUACUGGCACCCCCACGUGACUGACAUGUGGUCUAAAAAUGACUCUUCAAGAAACACUGUUCUAGAAGUUUGGCUGUUCCAAGCAUGGGGAGAAUUGAAAAGAAACUUUUAUGAGCUUUUCUGAAAAGUCUUCAGCACACACCUGUAUGGCCGAUUCACUGUCCAUACAGCCAUUCUCACCCCAGGGCACCGUGUCAGACUAGACUUUCUUGUCUAUCAAUUACUUGCUUUAUUUUCUCAGUUGCUUAUCAUCUUUGCUCCAUCCCAAUCAAUUUGAGGCCUACAGUGACUUACCACUGUGCCAAGCACUAUGUUCUGUAAGUUGCAGAUCAUUGCAAAAGCUCCUUAAAUGCAAAAUUUCUUCCCC
rnacentral:lncRNA from 1 species